rnacentral:lncRNA from 1 species
UUAUUAAUUCCUCUCAAUGAUUAUUGAUCGGUGUGUGUUCAUUUUGCAGACAUCAAUGAAUGUGAAAAUGAAAUUAAUCCACCAUGCUCUCCUUCUGCUAAAUGCAUUAACACUAAAGGCAGCUACAAAUGUCACUGUACUGAACCUUGCAAGCUGGCAGAAGAUGGAAGAACAUGCAUUGGUGCACCGGACACAGUGGAAGGUUUCUUCUGAGCUGACAGGCUACGGCUGCAAUGGAACCCACCUGAAGUUACACUCCCAAAGCCUGCUACUGGCAAUGUGUGCUUUUAUUUCUACCUAAUCCAUGCAAAGUUGAGUUCAGGCUUCCUAUAAACUUUAACCACCUUUGCCUUGAAGCUGGAAUGUCUCUUUUCCUUCCUCGUUUAUGUUACCACAAACAUGGAUGAAAUGGAAAAAGGCAGCAGAGAUUUGGACACACCUCAUGUUCCCUCAGCAAGAAUGCUCACUGACACAAAGUAUGCAAGCCCAAUAGCUGCUCUUGCCAAAAAGUAAUCUAGAGAGGCAGCAAGUUUUGUCACUAGCCCAAUCUGAGGGCGCAGCUGAGCAUCAGUGUCUAUUUCGGCUUUGAUUUUUUUUUUUCAUUCUUCUACCUGUGUGAGUCCAAGGCAGAACCUGUUAUCUCAAUUUGUUAUACAAAUAUAAUUCAUUCAGAGGAGGUAAUUUCUGUAUCUAAUACUGAUUUGCACUGGGGUAGUGGCAAGAGGACCCUGUGCAAGUAGAGCAGGACCGGCACCAGAUCCUCAUUCGAUUAAUUCUUUAGACACCUUUGAGUUUAGACAGAAGACAAAAGAUGUAGAUAUGAAAAAUACAAUGGGAAGAUUUAAAAAAUAAUAGUGAAACAAUUGUGAUCUACUUCUGUAGUACUCGGGCUCUUUCAUCUUUCUAAUGAAACGCUGUGCACUUUUAUUUUCAAAUUUUAAAUUAUCGUAUAGGCAAUAUAAUUAUUGAUUGUGCUUUUUCCCAGUGGGAACUAGGAAACAGGAACUAGGAAACAGUGAGCUCUGAUUUCCAAAACCAAUCUCCAUAUCUAGGGAAAAUAAAAGUAUGCCAGAAUUUAAUUUCGGUGAAAAU